rnacentral:rRNA from 1 species
AUUGAACGCUGGCGGCAGGCUUAACACAUGCAAGUCGAGCGGAGAUGAGGUGCUUGCACCUUAUCUUAGCGGCGGACGGGUGAGUAAUGCUUAGGAAUCUGCCUAUUAGUGGGGGACAACAUUCCGAAAGGAAUGCUAAUACCGCAUACGCCCUACGGGGGAAAGCAGGGGAGCUUCGGACCUUGCGCUAAUAGAUGAGCCUAAGUCGGAUUAGCUAGUUGGUGGGGUAAAGGCCUACCAAGGCGACGAUCUGUAGCGGGUCUGAGAGGAUGAUCCGCCACACUGGGACUGAGACACGGCCCAGACUCCUACGGGAGGCAGCAGUGGGGAAUAUUGGACAAUGGGCGGAAGCCUGAUCCAGCCAUGCCGCGUGUGUGAAGAAGGCCUUUUGGUUGUAAAGCACUUUAAGCGAGGAGGAGGCUACCUGGAUUAAUACUCUAGGAUAGUGGACGUUACUCGCAGAAUAAGCACCGGCUAACUCUGUGCCAGCCGCCGCAGUAAUAC